UACGGGGGGGGCAAGCGUUGUUCGGAAUUACUGGGCGUAAAGGGCGCGUAGGCGGUUCGCUAAGUUGAAUGUGAAAACUCUGGGCUUAACCCAGAGCCUGCAUUCAAUACUGGCGGGCUAGAGUUCUGGAGGGGAUAGCGGAAUUCCUGGUGUAGCGGUGAAAUGCGUAGAUAUCGUCCGGAACGCCGAAGGUGAAAACAGCUCGCUGGGAUUGUGCUGACGCUGAGACACGAAAGCCAGGGGAGCGAACGGG
rnacentral:rRNA from 1 species